UUCAGCCAUUUGGACUCAGCUCAGCCACUACAGAGGAAACAAUGACUUCAACACAAAAGGACCAACAUGGAGCGAGAAGUCCGCGCUCUCAGGAGGCCGACAAACCUCUCAGAAGAAAGGGAGAGAAAAACUACAGCUGUAAUGAGUGCGGGAAGGAUUUUUUCCGGGCCGACAGCUUAAAAAGACACAAA